CCUACGGGGGGCUGCAGUGGGGAAUUUUACGCAAUGGGGGAAACCCUGACGUAGCGACACCGCGUGAGCGAAGAAGCCCUUUGGGGUGUAAAGCUCUGUCAGCUGGAACGAAAAAAAUGACGGUACCAGCAGAGGAAGCAUCGGCUAACUACGUGCCAGCAGCCGCGGUAAGACGUAGGAUGCGAGCGUUGUCCGGAUUCAUUGGGCGUAAAGAGUUCGUAGGUGGUUUGUUAAGUCUGAUGUUAAAGAUCGGGGCUCAACCCUGAGACUGCAUU
rnacentral:rRNA from 1 species